rnacentral:rRNA from 1 species
UGACCGUGCAAAGGUAGCAUAAUCAAUUGUCUUUUAAUUAAAGGCUGGAAUGAACGGUUUGAUGAGAUAAAAUCUAUUUUUAUUUUAUUAAAAUGAAUUUAAAUUUUUAGUAAAAAUGCUUAAAUAAAAUAAUUAGACGAGAAGACCCUAUAAAUCUUUAUUUUAUAUUAUUAUAAUUUAUUAAGAAGUUUUUAUUUUUUAAUAAAAAAAAAUUUUAUUGGGGUGAUAAUGAAAUUUAAUAAACUUUUAUUUUAUAGAUUAAAAUUUAUGAUUUUUUUAAUUGAUCCAUUAUUAGUGAUUAAAAAUUUAAGUUACUUUAGGGAUAACAGCGUAAUUAUUUUAGAGAGUUCAUAUCGAUAAAAUAGAUUGCGACCUCGAUGACCGUGCAUGAGGUGCAAAAGAGCCAUCGUGAAUCA